rnacentral:sRNA from 1 species
AAGACGGGGCCUUCCGUCUCGCGGGGGUGCUUCCCUCGGCCGGCUCCGCAGGGCCCUGGCGCAGGCAUCGAGACAGCGGGCGAAUGCCUCCCCCGGCCCCGCAGGACCUGUGCGAGCGGCAUGAGAAGGGCGUGCUGCACAAGCACCAGCGGGCCCUGCACAAGUACAGCCUGAUGAAGAGGCAGAUGAUGAGCGCCACCGCGCAGAACCGCGAGCCGGAGUCCGUGGAGCAGCUGGAGUCCCGCAUCGUGGAGCAGGAGAACGCGAUUCAGACGAUGGAGCUGCGGAACUACUUCUCCCUGUACUGCCUGCACCAGGAGACGCAGCUCAUCCACGUCUACCUGCCCCUCACCUCCCACAUCCUCCGCGCCUUCGUCAACUCUCAGAUCCAAGGGCACAAGGAGAUGAGCAAGGUGUGGAACGACCUGAGGCCCAAGCUCAGCUGCCUCUUUGCGGGACCACACAGCACCCUGACCCCACCGUGCUCCCCGCCGGAGGACGGCCUGUGUCCUCACUAGCGCCUGAGGCUGAGGU